UCUUCUUUGUAAGUCAUUAUGCAAAACAGAGUGAGAGAGAGCUAGCUCGUAUUUUCUCUAUUUUUCUUCCAUUUACUCUCACUGGCUUCACCCUUGUCGUCAUGUGUUCGUCUCCCCACUACUAGUAAGUCGUUUGUUCCUUUCCCCCUUUGCCAUCCGUCCCUUUCUAUCAAGUUGAGAGGCUGGAUCUCUUCCCUAUUUCUUCUCUGAUUUGUGACCGACGGAGCGUCGGUCAUCAUGGGCUGAUUCAUAGGGGUGGCUACUACUAUUUCGUUUGAGCAUUAGAAAGGAAAAGAAAUUUCAACUCCACACAUCCAAUCAGCACAGUAGACAAGGAAGAAUAAAGAACCGAAGCUUCCUACCCAGAUACUCACACAAAAGCAGAAUAAAAGAGGAGUUUCGAGCUUACCACACACAACCCACACAUCAUAGAAGAAAAUGGAGAAUCGGCCCUCCCACAGUCACAUCAACACAGCAGCGUCAAACAGAAGAGGGGAAGAAGAUCUUUAGUGAUCGAUGCAGCACAGCAAGAGAAAGAAGAAGUAUCCGGCAGCCGUGACACCCUGCAGUAGCGGACGGUCGAUUCACACACACUGGCAACAAAUCAAAAAGAAUGGUGGAAGAGAAAGAAUGAAGGAUCGAAGGUCUCUCACUCUUGCCCUCUCGGUAUGAAACGGACCGAAAUGGUAAUUUCAAGAGGCCGUGGCAAAAUAUUAAAUUAAAUUUCCCUCUCUGCACCCUGGGUUUCGAACACGGACCCUCUAUAUACAAAC